GGUAGCAUGGUGUAGUGGUUUGAGUGAUAGACUGGAAUUCUAGAAGACUCGGGUUCAAAUCCCUGCCCAGCCA